GCAAACUCCGUGCCAGCAGCCGCGGUAAUACGGAGGGUGCGAGCGUUAAUCGGAAUUACUGGGCGUAAAGCGCGCGUAGGCGGUUUGUUAAGCCGGUUGUGAAAGCCCUAGGCUCAACCUAGGAACUGCACCCGGAACUGGCAAGCUAGAGUACAGUAGAGGAAGGUGGAAUUCCACGUGUAGCGGUGAAAUGCGUAGAUAUGUGGAGGAACAUCAGUGGCGAAGGCGGCCUUCUGGACUGAUACUGACGCUGAGGUGCGAAAGCGUGGGGAGCAAACAGGAUUAGAUACCCUUGUAGUC
rnacentral:rRNA from 1 species